GGAAGGUUGGCAGAGUGUAUUAUUGCAUCGGUCUUGAAAACCGACAGGGGACGGAGACGUUCUCUCAUGGGUUAAAAUCCCAUACCUUCCUCCA
rnacentral:tRNA from 1 species